rnacentral:lncRNA from 1 species
ACACUAUUCUAGGCAGUGGGGAUGCAACGGUGAAGCCGAGGACAAGGCCCCCAUGCGAAGGAAACAGGGAGCAGAUCUGCAGAGAUGAAAUGCCAGGGUUGGCCGGGAAUUCCAUACCCGACCUGAAUCCAUAUCUACCGGACCCCACAUCUGCCGUCCGACCCAAUGAGGGAGAUAAUAGUUGGCACCGAUGCUCUUUCCUCAUGAUCACAAAAUGGCUAUUACCGUUAUGAACGUACAUCUUUAUGCCACGAUCUCCAGGAGUAGAGAGAAGGGGGAGGGAUUAGACUUAUUUAAACCAAUCAAGACCUUUACUUGGAGCUGAGGGUAGGACCACACAAGAUCUAACAGCCUGGCUGGACAUGGCCGGGGAGUUGAAAUUUCCAAAUGAAGAGGAGUACUUUUGGUGGGAAAUUAAUUUUUAGAGUACAACAACAACAACAAAAGUACAUCACACUUUCUCAGAGGGGACCUCACCGUGCACCCCAUCUAAGGAAGGACCCUCUGUUAUCCUCUAUUACUGAAUGCUAUGCAUUUCCCUCAUAGCACCUGCUACUGUUUGUACAGUUUUUUUUUUUUCACUUGUUUAUGGUCACUAGGCUCUAACUUCAUAAGAACAGAUGCCAUGUCUGAUUUGCUUGCUUAGGGCUGGAACAUACUAGAAAACUCAGUGACUAUCUAUUAAUACGAGAAAAGUGAACAAUUUUCAUCUUUUUCCAAUUUAGUCCUGGAGAUGCAGGAGGGGAGAGGUUGGAAGGGUAAGGGUGAGUCACUGUGAGUGCUGUGAGUGUUAAUUUGGCUUUUCUUUGUCUAGAAGCUUAGUCCUCUGUCUCUUCCAAUAAUCCCUCAAAUUCCCCAUCCCCAUGCCUUUUCUUAUUAACCCACCUGCUCCUGGCACUCCAGUAAUAUGAUGUUUCUUUGAGGUUUUUUUUAAAACCUAGUUUGAAUUAGUGUCCUAAUAGGAAUCUUGAUUUUUAAAAAGAGUUAGUUGGAUUGUUUUUCCAAAUAACAUAGGAACCAAAUAUUCUUUCUUUGUGUUACCCCAGCUCCUAAAAAUGUAGUGGGUAUGCUUUACUGAAUGAAAAUUCAAUCUCCUUUAUGAAAAUUGAGACUGAAGUCAAUGCUAGGUAGUAGAAAGAGAGAGAAAAGCUGAGAGUGAGCCAGGAAAAAGAAAAAAAUUGCCAGGAAAGAAUAAAGUUUGUUAAACAGAGAAGAAGGAAGUCUUUGGAUUAAAGGGACAUAGCUGAAGAGAAGGAAAGUCAGAAUAACUUGGGAAAUAGAGUAAAAACUUACAAAAUAGAAAUAGAGCUGGAGGACUCAUCCUUCCUUCUUACAUUUAUCCAUUUAUUCCUCAAUACUUAUUGAGCACUUAAUAUGUGCCAGACACACUUCUAGGAGCCGAGGAUACAGGGGUGACCAAAACAUACCAGUCUUUGCCACUGUGGAGCUCAUAUUUUAGUGAGGAAAGAUAGACAGUAAGCAAAUACAUGGACAGAGACUAUAGGCUCCUGGAUACAAAUGCCAGAUUGAAAAGACAUAUCUACUCUUCCUCCCUCCUAAGACUCCACAGGAUGAGACAAAUGGAGUAGGGGUUUGGGAUGGGCAUAUGCACACUGUGGUAUGUGGAAUGAUUAGCCAUCAGGGACCUGCUGUAUCAGCGCGGAGAGCUGUACCCAAUGCUCUGUGAUAAUCUAUAUGGGAAAAGAAUCUGAAAAAGAAUGGAUGUGUGUAUGUGUAUAACUGAAUCACUGUUGUUGUACACCAGAAAUUACCACAUCAUUGCAAGUCAACUAAACUUUAAUAAAAC